rnacentral:tRNA from 2 species
GCCCAGGUGGCGGAAUGGUAGACGCGCUACUUUGAGGUGGUAGUGCUCGAAAGGGCGUGGAGGUUCAAGUCCUCUCCUGGGCACCA